UCAACUCGACUAGUAUUGUUGUUGAAUUCAUGCAAAAGGACAUUCUAGGCACAUGAGUGCUGACUCUAAAAUUUACGGUCAUUUGACAGGGAGCAAUCUUUUGAAAAUCUUUUAAACAUGGAAAGAGUUGAGAGAAAGAAAGAAGAUGACAAGUUUUAGAUGUUAAAGAAAUAACAAAAUAUUUUGCAUGAAUUUGGGAACACAUAUGAGCUCUUGUUUAUCAAAUAAUUAAAUUUAACGAAAUGUUUUUUGGGCACUCUGCGCAAGGAAAAAAUCGUAAUAUAUGGAAAAUUAAGAAAUCACAUAUAAUAAUAGAGAAAUUGCAAUAGAAAAAAAAAAAAAGGAAAUCCCUCCGAGGACGACUCCCAUACAGUUCUUGCGAGAGCUGGAGAAGCAUCUACGAGUAAAGCACCGUAUCCAUAUAACUGCUUGCCACCUACAUGCUGCCUAUGCUACCCUAAUUCACACAGACAUAUUGCUGAGAAAAUUGCAGUCUCUGUUGAGGUCUCUGAGUACCAAAGACUUUGCACUUGCUACACUAUUCAUGAGACAAUAUGGUAACUCUUCAGGUGACAUUAUGGCAGCGCCACCAGUUAAAUUACAAGCAUGCAUGCCUAGAUGGAUGGUGCUGGUUUUAUAAAGUAUAAACACCAUCAUUGUUGGCAGAAAUGGCGGUUGGUUCACCAAGUUGGGUUAUCAUGAAGGUGCCAUCAAAUAUUUAUUAUGAGAUUUAUCAGCUUACAGUGGGUACACAAUAAUCACAUUUCCUCCAUGACCUCCCCUAGCUCAAUGCCUCCUUUUCCUUUGUAGCUUCCUUAAACAUCAUGACCUCAAUCUUCAUGGCUGAUAGUGGUCGUAAGGUAAAGCUUUCACCAUUAUUAAUAACCCCACAAGGUUAUAAUAAUGUACUGGAUGUGGUUAUAUAACUCCUAGAACUAAAGUUCAUCUAUGUUCAACAAGAGCUGAGCUCCAACAUUGUCCUCUCCAUACCCAAGUAGCAUAACUUCUAACAUCAAACCUUAAAUAUUGGGGUCUGUGCUUAUAAAUCAUUCAUAGAACAUUCAUAUGAGGGCCAACUCUGAUGUUACUACAUGCUUCUCUUCCUCCGCUUAAACACCCUUCGACAAUGAUUUAGUGCCUCUUGUUAUACAUUACCGUUACCUCAACCAGUUCUCCAUCAUAUUGUUCUUGAUUGAUGUCUGUGUGUUUUUUUACUGUUAGCUGUCUGCCUAACCUCAACCCUCCAUCUUUUUUUCAACCCAUUCAUAGUUAAUGCCUAAAAAAAAUCUUUGCCACCCCACAUUUUUAUGGUGUCUGUCAUGUGACUUCAAAAUUGUUUUGGAGAACCCAUAUUGAUUUAGUGCAUUGACUCCAUAAAAGUGUAGUUUCUAUGGAAAAAUGGCUCUUAAUGAACUAUAAAUAUGCUCGAAUUUGCUUGGAUGGUGUAGUCUUAUCUUUUUCUGCUGAAUAUGUUUUAUUCCAGACCUUUGAAAUAUUCAUUUUCUUUCAGAACAUGUCACUAGAACCUAAUCGUUGCUCUAUAUUGUCCCAGAGUCAUAUUAUAUGGUCACAUUCUCAGCCCCAUAAUGGUUCUAUCACAGUAGUUACUCUCCCUUAUUCUUGUUCCAGAGGCAAAGUAGCAUUGGUUCCUGGUUCUGAGAAAAACCUAGUGUCGGAUUGGCAUUAUAAUGAUUGGAUCUAUUUAACUUUGCAAAAAUAAGGAUGACUAUAAUUGUAUUAUCACAUUUCUGGGACUCAUGGUGCGUUGCCAUUUAUAGGAUAUUAACUAGCAAAACAUUACUCUGUGAUUUAGUGCACCUUCAUUCAGACUAAUGAUCAAACUGCAGCACAUGGAUUAGAUUCAAUAUCUCAUCACGUGGUCAAAAACACUAGAGAUGAGUUGGUUUUCAGAACAUUAUCUAUGAUCCAAGAUACAAAAACAGAAGAGCAGUCAGUUCAGCAACCACUCCUAGAUGAACAUCAAACAGUUCACCAGAGCCUUAAGAACUUCAUAAUUCUGUAAUUUGUUUGUGAUUGUCAAUGAACUAUCUAUUUAACUUCAUAAUUUAUUUGGAUUGGCAUUAUAAUGGUUGGUUCUAUUUAACUUUGCAAAAAUAAGGAUGACUAUAAUAGCAUUAUCACAUUUCUGGGACUCAUGGUGCAUUGCCAUUUAUCGGAUAUUAACUAGCAAAACAUUACCCUGUGAUUUAGUGCACCAUCAUUCAGACUAAUGAUCAAACUGCAGAACAUGGAUUAGAAUCAAUAUCUCAUUAAAUGGUCAAAAACACUGGCGAUGAGUUGGUUUUCAGAACAUAGAUAGGAUCCAAGAUACAAAAACAGAAGAGCAGUCAGUUCAGCAACCACGCCUAGAUGAACAUCAAACGGUUCACCAGAGCCCUAAGAACUUCAUAAUUCUGUAAUUUGUUUGUGAUUGUCAGCUAACUAUCUACACCAAUCUUGAUCUCUGUCAUCUCAUUUGUUAGUGGAUAAGGUACAAAUUUUAUAGGCUGACCCU
rnacentral:lncRNA from 1 species